UCGCCAGACUCCUACGGGAGGCAGCAGUGGGGAAUAUUGCACAAUGGGGGAAACCCUGAUGCAGCGACGCCGCGUGAGUGAUGAAGUAUUUCGGUAUGUAAAGCUCUAUCAGCAGGGAAGAAAAUGACGGUACCUGACUAAGAAGCACCGGCUAAAUACGUGCCAGCAGCCGCGGUAAUACGUAUGGUGCAAGCGUUAUCCGGAUUUACUGGGUGUAAAGGGAGCGUAGACGGAGAGGCAAGUCUGAUGUGAAAACCCGGGGCUCAACCCCGGGACUGCAUUGGAAACUGUUUUUCUAGAGUGUCGGAGAGGCAAGUGGAAUUCCUAGUGUAGCGGUGAAAUGCGUAGAUAUUAGGAGGAACACCAGUGGCGAAGGCGGCUUGCUGGACGAUGACUGACGUUGAGGCUCGAAAGCGUGGGGAGCAAACAGGAUUAGAUACCCCAGUA
rnacentral:rRNA from 1 species